UAUGUAAACAAGCACAUGUUUACGUAUACUCCUUCCCUAACAGAAAUGACACAAUUUAUUCACCUUUAAAGAGUAGAUAAGUUUAAGAUUUUUUUUCCUAUGAGAAUGCAACAGAAUGUGCCUAAACUCUCUGAAGAAAAAAAACUGUCAUGAAUACAGGUCAAAGCACAGAAAUGAAUUAUUUAGCUCAGCAAUGAAAUCAUGACCAUGAAAUGCCAACAGCUGGGGUUUUAAAGGAUUUUUAACAGUAAACCUGUCACUAGAGCACGUGGCUGCAUGUUUAAACCAUAGUUUUUAUUUUAUUUUGGUUUAUUUCUUAGAAGUCAAUUUAAUCUCAUGUCUAAGUGAUAAUAUUUUGUCUCACAUGUAAAAAAAGUUACCUUUGAACCUUUGCUGAACAUGCAUAACACAUUUCCUAUGCCUCCCACUGAUCUCAUUUUUGGCCUAUCAGUGCUUACUAUUAAGCCUGAAAUAUGCUGAAUAACUCAAAUAUUCACUUGUAACCACUGAAGCAAGCCUCAUAGUGUAUCUUCUGUGAAAGAACGCCAUUAUUUACUGAGAUGCAAGAUCCCCUAUUUUCUCCUUCCAUCUUUAAUGUAUUUGUAUUUCAGAAUUACAUGUAAUACAGCAAAUGCUUUAACAAUUACUGCAGAAUUGUUUGUUACCACCUCGCCCUUAAAGUUUCUUCAAGAUAUGAUGAUUCACAGCUUGCACUUCUCAUGGAUAAAUGCAUAUACAUGGACAAUUACCUUGAUGAAGCUGACACAUGGCAGGUUACUCACAGCAAUAUUUUGCAUUAUUUUUUUAAGUGCUGAGAAGAUUGUGCUAAAGUGACUCUAGUUCAGUGUGAUCUAGAAACCACACAACUGUAGUCAGCAACCAACCAGCAAGCACAAGCUAGUGGGGGCAGGGAGAAAGGGGAUACAUGCAUAUUUUCACAGCAGUGUCAGUCUCAGCAGAAAAAAAAAAAUAAUCAAUGCUUCUUGCCCACAAUUUCUCCUUUUCUGAACUCUGUAUCAUUACAUGCUGCCAUACCAAAGGCAUUGCUAACCCCUGGAUGUGAAUCUGAACUGGUGAAAUGCAUCGCCCUGGUGCAGACUGCCACACUACUGCAUGACAGGUACAUCAUCCCAAGCGGCACAACAGAAGACUACUGCAUGUUCUGUAGGCCAUAUUUCAUCACAGAAAUUACAGAAAGUUGUUCAACAACAGCGUGAAGAUUUUUUUUUCUUAAGAUGGAUCAAUGUAGCCAUGUCGCAGCAAUCUCCAAACUAUCAGGCUUCCUCCUCUUUGUUCCCAACGGCUCACCUUUACCGGUGUCUGAUCCAGAUCCCCAGGCUCUUCCCGCCUAUCUCAACGUGAUAUGGAUCACAGGCUAUCCCCACCUGUCUCCACUACAUUGGGCACCACCGUCACCACUCAAAACUUCAAACAUCCCCCUGGCACAGCCACCACUGCUGUUGCCACUCAUUACACCCAGGCUCAUAAUCUGAAGGUCCUCAAAAGGGGGCACCAAUUGUCACUGCACUCUCCAAACUAUCCAGCUGCAACAAGGUCUUUUACCAUCUCAUACCAACAUACUCUUCGUGCCCAUCCCUCUGCUGCCUUCUCCUAGCUGCUCCUCAUCCCAGGCUCACAUUCCCUCUUUCUUCUCUCUGCUUCUUCCUCCUCUCUCUUCCUCGGCUGCUCCCUCUUCAUUAGCUGCCCAACCCCUUAACAAAACCAGCCACAGCUGCACAUCAGCCAACCCACCACCCCUGAAGCCAGCCCACAGCUGUAUAUUAUCAAUGUUAAUUAAUGCAGCUUCAUUCCUCUACACAGCCAUAUUUCUUAAGAAAACCCACAGGGUUUCCCCUGUUUCUGACAGAAGGCUCCACCUGUUUGGUUUUUUUUAACUCAAUGCACAGAAGUACAUUAUAAAGAUGUAUUUUAUAUCCAAAACCCAGCUGCACAUCAAGCCUACAUACUUGGAUCCAGCACCACCAAAUGAAGCUCCAUUAAUCCAUACUUCAACCAAAGUUUGUCCUAGUGUCUUUUCGUUCCCCUGUUAACAUGCCCUAAUAAGAAAUAUCACCAGUCCUUUAAACUUUCUGAAUUAGUUCGUGCAGGCUUAUCAUAUUAAAAGGUAAGUCUUCCUCUACUUUGAAGUGUUACUGCAUGCCAUCUGAGCACAUGGCAACAAUAGGGGUUUUUUAGUAGUCUUAAUGAUUUAGCCACUGCUGAUAAACAACAUACUUGGAUGUGGUACCAUUAAACCACACUUAAGAAAUCUUGAAUUUGUUUCACAUUCUUCAGUCUUCUCAUUAGAAAGCAUGAACUGUCUCAGCUUAAGCCUGCCCUAUUUUUCAAAAUUGCUUCCUAAAAAUAAAGAAAAUUGAGUGUGUUCCACCAGAGCGGAUAAAAUUUGAGACAGACAAUGCAAAAUCGCUAUUACACAGAAUCUGACAGAACACAACCAUAGGAAAAAACAUCUAGAAUACCUAAAGGAACACUUAAUUUCUUUUCACCUGAAUACUGCUUAAUGCUUAAUAAACAUUAUGGUUCUAGAAGCUGUUAAGCAAAAAAAUGGGCUUUAGGGUUUUCGGGUUUGCUCUCUUUUUCAAUCCUUAUACAAAAUCUGAAGUCAGCUCAGGUAAAAUUUCAGAAACCAGAAGUCUGAAGUCCAUCUGGGUUCAAGUCUACCUCAGCCUGCAAUCACACCUACUUACCUUUUUUGCAGUCCACAACAAACACGUCUUGGGCAAUAUCUACAAACACCCAUCAACCCCACACUCUUCCUUAUGAUUAAUAGUAAUGCCCUGGCCACCCUUUAAGCUACCAGCUAAGACCAGCAUCUCUGAUCCGAACUAAUUUCUACUUACUCUCACUCUUAACAAAUCAUAUCUACCUUGCCGUUUUUUUCACUCAAGAUAAAAAUUCAGAAGUAAAUUAGAUGUAAAGCAGCCAAAAUAAUCUUUUUUUUUAAUUAACCUGCCUGCCUUUUAUCCAUGAGUAUAAUUAUCAUCACUUACCUAUAUGAAAUAAAGUCGUAUCAUUAUCAUUCAUCUCCCUUGUCAUUUAUAACCCUAUUAAAUGCUCCAUUGACCUCAUUUUUCCCACAUCACUACUGUUGUACUGCUUUAACCUUUUGAGGGGUGGGGAAUGGAUCUAGAUUCCUGUUGGUAGUGUAUUGCCCAAUAUUUUGAGUUAUAAUGACUAAGAUACUUCCAAAUCUGUCUUUAUAUCCUUUGUCCACUAUUAUCACACAACACAAAGUUUUGUUCUCUUUAUUUCCCCAAAAUCUAGCAUUUACCAAGGCCCACACUUCUUUUCUUACACCUAAUUCUUAGCUCUUCUACAUAGUUUGCCAGAACGCAUGUAUGACUUGGUUACUGACUCUUGCUUUUCAUCUAAUACUCCACAUCAUGUUCCAAAGCACUAUAAAACCCAUUCAUUCUUCUAUUAUGAGCAUCCCACCCCCUUCCUGCAUCUGUGUUUCUAAAAAAAAUGUGGUUUUUUUCACAUCCAAGACACUUCAGACAUUAGUAACACUGUCAUUUUACAAACGCAAGAACCAGCUCUAGCUGAAUGAGGGAGACAAGGGUGUGUGUGCCUAAAGAGCAUGCAACAUUAACCACAUUAGAAAAAAACCCUUGCUCUCUCCCUGGUCCAAACUAGCUACAAAGAUGCUGCGCUAUUCAUUUUUUUGUACUGUUCUCUGCUGAGCUGGUCUCUCACCAUGGAACUGCACUUUUUCUCUAUCAGGCAGUUUUUGUAUCCCAAAACACUAGAAUAAACCAUUAUUAUGCAAGUACAAGGUUUAUAGCACAUCUUAAUGUUUCAUCCUUUCUUCAGAGCUGGUUGUAGAAUGACAGACAUUUUGCAUAUAGGUUUUUGCAUGGGUUUUCAAAGUGUAUCUUUAUAGUGAAAUAAAACUGAAGUUUUUUUUGGGGGGGACAGGGACGGGACACAAACCACCAAACCAUCAAAACAACUUUUUCCACAGACACAAAAAGAAAGGAGCCUUUACUACAGCAGUACCACACCAAAACUCCACUUAGUGGGUUGUAGAUAAAGAGCCAGGAAGUCCUGGAAGAGUUUGAGGAAAGUAUCCAAAUUACCUGGCAGGCUACCACUAAACUGGGCAACAAGCUGCCAGAAAACAAGGUAAGAUUCCAACGCUUCUGCCUUUUAUCACGCUUUUGUAAAACAAACCAAAAAAACCCAAAGGAGCUCUAUGAAACUCCUGAAUUUUGACUGAAACUUCUGAAUCUGUACGCUGGUAAGAGCCUUCUAUGUGAGCACUCCUCAAGACCUUUUGUUUUCUUUAAGCCUGUCAGCCUCAUCCGGAUUCACUAGCCCCACAGCCUUACUUUAAGAAAGGACAAUGUCUUUUCAGAUAUUCCUUUUUGGGCCCAGACAGUAGUAAAGAGUUUUAGGGUUCACUAUUUAGAUAAUUGUGUUAAAGGGCAUUUCAAAUUCUUACAGCUCUACGCAGUAGCCACCAUGCCUGUUAGCCAGAAAAUACAAUCUUCUUGACAACUUAAGUUACAGGUUCACACCCCAUUUUUUUCACAUUAAAUGGUAUCUUCUGGUCUCCUUCCAGUUAUAACAGUGCUGAAAGAGCUGUUACUUACUCAUAAUGACACAGUCUCUCAAAAGACUGUAUUCCUGCCCCAAAGCCUAACUUUUCACUCUGCAAGCUUCACAAGGUUUUGCAUCCUCCAGAAUGAAUUCACUAUUUUAAGACAACUCUGCAUUAUGGAAGUAAUGAAAUAAACAUCUAGAUCUAAUAUACAAUAGAAAGGAUUUGACAGUCUGUCUAAAACAGCAAGAUGUGGUUAUUUUAAGACAGCAUUGCUACUCCGACAUCAAUAAGCCACUCCAAGUUUAACCCCAGCCGACAACGAAGUACCAUGCAGCUGCUCUUUUCUGUCCAAAGACCAGUGAGAAAACAGCUUAGGUAAUUCUGAAAGGAUGCUGUGCUCAAACCUGCCAGGCAUUCAGAGUUGCAUAGACCUGAUGCUGCAUGCCUUAGGGCUGAUCUAAUGAGUGCCUUUAUGAAUGGAAUUUGUCUCUUGGAUCAAUGAAGAAAACCACUCCUAACAUGGGUAUGUUCAGUUGUCCUAACUCCUCUUUUUUUGUCAUCAUAUCUAUGCCAGGAAACACUGAAGUGCAGACCGAGCCUUUGCACUACAUUCCUCUGUGUCAGCUUUGAGGAUUCUGGUAAAUGGCACCCACAAGGUUCAAACUGCAAAUUCUGCUGCAGUCAUUAACAAAAACAUUUCUGUAAAAAAAGCACAACACAAAACCCCAACAACUGCAACAACAACUUUGUGGCCAUGCCUUUGUUAAGUCAGGAACCUAAACAAUACAUUUAAAGUUGCAAAUGAAGCUGAGGGAAUUACCAUCACUAACUUCAAAAGCAUAUCCACAUUAGGUAGGUCCAUUCUGCUAACUGCCUGAGAAUCAGCCUGUCUUCAGUUUUGGCCAGAUGAAUUUAAUGGUUAAUGAUUUUGGUGCAUGAUGAGGAUUCCUAGAACACCACUGUCUUUACUGAGAAACUGAGUGGUUCAAGUCUUACAUUUCUCAACACCCUCCAUACUCUAUACUUUUCUUUCCAAAUGUAAAUUAUAGCUCUCAACUUCCCAAGGGCUUGAGAAAGGAUCGGACAACAUUCAGAAAGUAUUGGAAAUAAAUACCAGUGUUGGUACUACACUCUAAAGAAAAAAAGAAACCAAAACCACAAAAAAACCACCCGAACACCAAACUAGUUGUUUGAUUCUUCCUAUAUAUAUAAUGUGAAACGAGGGGUCUACCUUUUAAACUUUGAAGUGUUUGGAAAUAACAAAGCUUGAAUUCUAUCUUUGGGGUUUGUUUUAAUUUUGAUGAGUCAGUGUUGACAAGACUCCUUUACAGUAGAUAAAUUAUGCAGAACUUUUUCAACAAAAUAGAAACAGAAAGUUGGAUAAAUGUAUUAUGCUGCUACACAAUGUAAGGGACUAAUCCUGACUUUUUUUAAUUCCCAGCACAAAGCCCCCAAACAACACACUAACUUAUCACCAUGUGGCUUUACUUCACAGAAUUGACUGUAUUAAAGAGCAUAUAGAGAAGGGAACAGAUAUACUACACAGCAUAGUUUACAAGACUUCCCCUAAAGGCAGAUAGGAAAUAAUUGUUCCUUUCUAGGAGCCAGGAAGAACACAAGAGGCCUUUUCCAUCAGUCUUCCACAGGAUCACAAGUGUGGAGCAUUACAACACACACUUCAAUAAAUUUUGAAACUGCUAAAAUUUCAUAUACAAUCUUGAAAAUGUCAAUUCUAUUAAUCUAACAUUACCAGUUAGAGAAAUAAUUAAGGUUUUCAACACCAAUUCUUUUUUGUGACUUUGCAAAAACCUUGUACUGAAACUACAACAUCAUACCAAAACUUAAGAGAUAUUUCAGAAAGUAAUUAUACUUCAAUAAAAGUAAUCAAUUCACUAGGAAAAGUAAUGGCUUAUCAGCUCUGGUUAAAUUCUAAAACUUAGAAGGAAUUUUGCCUCCCCCCCCCCCCCCCCCCCCCCAUUAUUUCUCACUAAAUUAUUUGAACACAGACUAAGGUAUGGAAAAAGGUAUCAGAGUCUGGCAACGCACUCUGUGUCCUGUGACGGGAGAAGCUUUGCAGCUCCCAAAUCAACAUCACACAUGCAUCUCAUGAAACUAUGCAGAUGACAAAACUCACACUAAGAAAAAAAGAAAAGAAAAAAAAAAAGAGCAGCAAGGAACAGAGAACACCAAGAACAUCCUUUUGUUUCAGCCAAUUUUACCCUCAGACCUGAACACAUUAAUUUUGUUUUAAAUCUAUAAAUUCUACUAUCAUAUUAGCAGUGGUUUUAUUAUGAUCUUCAUUACUAGAACUCUUCAAUGGCCAUAGUAAGUUAUAGACAAAGCUAUUAUUCCCUUCUUUCAGCCAGGACAGCUACACAGACUGAUUUCUUGCAUAUAAUUUUUAUCGGAAAGUCUCUGUACUACACCUUGCAACUGCAGUUUUGAAAGAAUACCAGUAAGUCUCUGUCAAGAAGAGCCUAUGUGUAGGCUGAGUAAUUUAAAUGCAGAAUAAACAUCUUAGAAAUACACCAGGUUCAAAGGUUAUUGUUGUUUUACCUCUUAAGAUACCAUGCUGAAGAUGGUAUACACCUGCUUCAAUUGCCAAAGAACCUGUUUAAAAACGCCCUGUGAAUCUGUCCCAAGCCUGUCCCCCCUUUUGUUUAUCCGUGACUCCCACAUUCCUGCCAAAAAAACACCCCAAACAAAAACCCCACUUAUGUUCAUGUUCACAUGAGCUAUGUAAAAUAAUGGCACAAGAUGCUCUAGAAAAAUAUUUAAAAAAUACAUUUCCUUCCCUACUCUUUUAAGUUCCGUUGAAGAUUUGCGGCAGAAGACGACCAAGCUGCAAAAACAUAUUAUUUAGCAAGUGAAACUGCUGCAUCAUUUUCCCCGUGGGCCACACGCUGCGCUGUCGGAGGCGCGGGAAGGCGAACGGCCGCCGCUGCCUCGGGCCGGGCGGAGGGGCCCUGCCUCCCCUCAGGCGCCCUGCGGCCGUGCGGCGGGGAGCCCGCCGGCGCGGCGGGGGGAGCCGGGUGCGCCCGGGCAGCGAACAGGCAGAGAGCAAGAACCACAAGUGUCAGGGGAAGCAGAAGUCUUUUCCAGUGACUGCUGGUGACACUGAAGGGUCUCCAACAUGCCAUAAGGUACUGUUGUGCAAGCCAAAAAGCUUCUUCUUCAGCUUUGUACCUGUCUGUGAUAUAAAAAGUCUACUGCCAUGGGAUUUUGAUGCAGCAAAUGCAGUAAUUUUUCUCCUGUCUGCGCUCUUCCAGUUUGAGUCUCUUCCAGUUUGAAGUAUGGAAAGACCAAAGAAGAAAAAGAGGCUUAAAAUCUCCUGAAAAGGGCAGCAGAAGAAGAAUCCAGCACUGAGACACAGGAGGAAUUCUCACAGCCUUUGGCAUCUCUUCGCUGUGUGCCAGCUGAACCACAAUUUGUUCCUUCCUGAAUACAUCCUGGAACUGAAGGAGCAGACUGCUAUCAUCAUACUGUUUAAGGUGAGAUCAAAUAUCGUUCCAGCCCAGUAUCCUGUUUCUGAGAGUGGACAGCACCAGACGUUCUGGGAAGAGCAUAAGAAAAAUGCAGACUACAAUGACACUUUCCCCGUGUGUUCACCCUGACUCCAGAGAUUUGUGCCUCACACAUUUCCUCAGCUAGAGCCAAAAUCUGUUCAACGCUUUUCUCCGUAAAAUGUUUGCAACCAAUACUGUAUGUUGUUCUCCCUGGAGUUUAUCCUUAGGGUAGCGAUGCCGCUGUAAAUCCAAAGUGUCUAGUGUUCAUCUGGUUGCAUUACAUUCUCCACCAGUUACAACAGAACUGGGCUUUCUCCUGGCACAUUGCCUCUUUUUCACUGGCACAGCUUGAAACAGGAAUCUCAAUAAAUGGGCAGGCAGAUCCUGCUCUCUGACAGGAAUCACUAACAGCAUAUUUGUAUAACUUUGCUAACUUUCAUGGAGCUGGACUAUAUUUUCACUGGACUGUGUCAUGUUUCAAAGCUGAGCUAGAACAAAAGUUUUUGUGCCUGUUACAGUUUUAGAGUAAUGCUGUGCAGGCAUGGCUGGGUAGAUGGGCAAAGGAAACAUUCACACCAUAUUCUGGUGCCAACUUGAACACUCAAGAAGUCUACUGUAGCCAAGAGAAAGAGAAGGCAUGUACCUCGUCUCUACAAUUAUCCUACAGAGAUCAGCCUCCUCAUCUAGUUUCUAAACUUGGAGCUAAAAUUCAGGCACAUGAACACCCUCCCCAUUACUCCAACAUUUUCCACUUACCAAUUUUGAUUUAAAAAUAAAACUAAAUGACUAGAUCUCUGACAA